rnacentral:lncRNA from 1 species
CUGCCAUUGCCUCUGCCUCUCCUCCACAGCAGCAGCAGUAAGAGCAGCAAUAGCCCAGCUGUCUGUCCAUCCUACCUUGGCUUUGCCUGUCUCCAUCCUGUUCUUCUUCCUCUGCAACUGGAAUAUGGCUUUCCGGGAAGAAUGAAUCUGAUGUGCUUGCUGGAGCAACCGGGAGAGGAUAGACAGGAAAGAAAGACAUUUGCACAUAAAAGUGGGAUCCCGGUUCCCUGUGCAGCCACAUAAACUGUUGUCCUGGCACAGGAAAGUGUUGAUAGAGAUGAGUCAUAAAAGAAAAGAAAUUUUCAGUUCAGAAAAUCCUAACACAGCAAGGAAGAAUAUUUUUUCAAAGGCAUGAAGAUCCAUAAGGCACCUAACUGACGUCUUUGAAAAUCUGUCCUGAAUGCAUGCUACGUGGUUGACAUUACUUCCAUCACAGGAAACAUUUUCUUUUCCGAAUUUUUAAAUCCAGCUAAAGACUAAUUUUUUACCCACAGAAAAGACUGUGGUUGUGUACUGACUUUGUGAGCACAUUUUGCAAACAUAUCAACUGCCUUUUUCUGAAAGAAUAGCCUUCUCUAUCAGUUUCAGCUGAAAGCCUUCAGUCCUGGAGUUUAAGAUUAUAUCAUCUUUAUUUUGCCUUUACAGACAUACAUCUUAGGGUGUACUGAGGAGCAGAUUCAAAUCCACUGUAUUUAC